rnacentral:rRNA from 1 species
GACGAACGCUGGCGGCGUGCUUAACACAUGCAAGUCGAACGCUGAAGCUCAGCUUUUGUUGGGUGGAUGAGUGGCGAACGGGUGAGUAACGCGUGAGUAACCUGCCCCCUUCUUUGGGAUAACGCCCGGAAACGGGUGCUAAUACUGGAUAUUCACUGGUCUUCGCAUGGGGGUUGGUGGAAAGGGUUUUUCUGGUGGGGGAUGGGCUCGCGGCCUAUCAGCUUGUUGGUGGGGUGAUGGCCUACCAAGGCUUUGACGGGUAGACGGCCUGAGAGGGUGACCGGUCACAUUGGGACUGAGGUACGGCCCAGACUCCGACGGGAGGCAGCAGUGGGGAAUAUUGCGCAAUGGGCGCAAGCCUGAUGCAGCGACGCCGCGGGAGGGAUGGAGGCCUUCGGGUUGUGAACCUCUUUCGCUCAUGGUCAAGCCGCAACAAUGGUUGUGGUGAGGGUAGUGGGUAAAGAAGCGCCGGCUAACUACGUG